rnacentral:rRNA from 1 species
UACGUAGGGGGCAAGCGUUGUCCGGAAUCAUUGGGCGUAAAGCGCGUGUAGGCGGCUGGGUAAGUCCGCUCUGAAAGCCCGGGGCUCAACCCCGGGAGGCGGGUGGAUACUGCUCAGCUCGAGUCCGGAAGAGGAGUGUGGAAUUCCUGGUGUAGCGGUGAAAUGCGCAGAUAUCAGGAGGAACACCGAUGGCGAAGGCAGCACUCUGGGACGGUACUGACGCUGAGACGCGAAAGCGUGGGGAGCGAACAGG